rnacentral:rRNA from 1 species
UACGGAAGGCAGCAGGGGGGAAUAUUGCACAAUGGGCGCAAGCCUGAUGCAGCCAUGCCGCGUGUAUGAAGAAGGCCUUCGGGUUGUAAAGUACUUUCAGUCGUGAGGAAGGUGUUAAGGUUAAUAACCUUAGCAAUUGACGUUAGCGACAGAAGAAGCACCGGCUAACUCCGUGCCAGCAGCCGCGGUAAUACGGAGGGUGCGAGCGUUAAUCGGAAUUACUGGGCGUAAAGGGCACGCAGGCGGUUAAUUAAGUUGGAUGUGAAAUCCCCGGGCUUAACCUGGGAAUGGCAUUCAAGACUGGUUAGCUAGAGUCUUGUAGAGGGGGUUAGAAUUCCAUGUGUAGCGGUGAAAUGCGUAGAGAUGUGGAGGAAUACCGGUGGCGAAGGCGGCCCCUGGACAAAGGACUGACGCUCAUGUGCGAAAGCGUGGGGA